UCCACCUGGGACCCCCCAAAGUUCACCUGGGACCCCCAAACCUCACCUGGGACCCCCCAAAAUUCACCUGAACACCCCAAAAUUCACCUGGGACCCCCCAAAAUCAGACGAGGCCUUUAGAAAACACCUUUAAUGGGGGCACAGGUAAUAAAUAGGGGGCUCAGGUGGGCACAGGUGGGCUCAGGUGGGCUCAGGUGUGCCCAGGUGUGCCCAGGUGUGCCAGGGUUCACUCAGGUGCCGUUCCGGUGUCUCCAGGUGUGCCCAGGUGGGCUCAGGUGAGGCUCAGCUCUGCCCAGGUGUAGUCCAGGUGUGCCCAGGUGCAGUUCAGCUGAUCCCAGGUGUGCCCAGGUGUGCCCAGGUGCGCUCAGGUGAUCCCAGGUGAUUCCAGCUGUGCCCAGGUGUGCCCAGGUGCGCCCAGGUGCAGUUCAGGUGAUCCCAGGUGAUUCCAGCUGUGCCCAGGUGUGCCCAGGUGCGCUCAGGUGCUGUUCAGCUGAUCCCAGCUGUGCCCAGCUGUGCCCAGCUGUGCUCAGGUGCGCUCAGUUGAAGCUCAGGUGAUCCCAGCUGCGCCCAGGUGCGCCCAGGUGCAGUUCAGGUGUGCCCAGCUCUGCCCAGGUGCGCUCAGGUGCUGUUCAGGUGAUGCCAGCUGUGCCCAGCUGUGCCCAGGUGUGCUCAGGUGCAGUUCAGGUGAUCCCAGGUGUGCCCAGGUGUGCCCAGGUGCGCCCAGGUGUGCCCAGCUGCGCUCAGGUGCAGUUCAGGUGAUCCCAGGUGCGCUCAGGUGCGGCAGCAGAGGCCGCAGCCGCGGUUGCGGCAGCAGCCGCAGCAGAAGGAGCAGAGCGGGAAGUGGGGGCUGUGCCGGCGGCGCCGCGCCCAGGUGAGCGCCAGGUGAGGGGGCACGGCCUCGGCCGGGCCGCCGGCAGGGGUCACCUGGGGGAAGCAAAAUUCCAGGUAUGAAUCCCUGGGAACACCUGAAAUCCAGGUGAGGUUACCUGGGAACACCUGAAAUCCAGGUGUGAGUCC
rnacentral:lncRNA from 1 species